rnacentral:lncRNA from 1 species
UUAAGUGGAGCCUUGUCAGCAUCAGCAGAUGCUUGCAAAGCAAAGCUUUUUUUUGCCCUCAAAACAUCGACAAUUAAACGUGACGAGAGGAUCAGUUUACCUGACCAGUAAUAGAAGAAAGGAUCUUGUUACAAGUUCAUGUUAGGGAGGCUCCAAACCGGCGCUUUUGAGCCUUGCGUCAGUAUUAUCAUUCAAAUAUGUCGCUGUAAUGCUGUGUAGGCCUAUGAGCACUUAGACUGGCC